rnacentral:rRNA from 1 species
GAUGAACGCUGGCGGCGUGCCUAAUACAUGCAAGUCGAGCGAACAGACGAGGAGCUUGCUCCUUUGACGUUAGCGGCGGACGGGUGAGUAACACGUGGAUAACCUACCUAUAAGACUGGGAUAACUUCGGGAAACCGGAGCUAAUACCGGAUAACAUGUUGAACCGCAUGGUUCAACAGUGAAAGACGGUCUUGCUGUCACUUAUAGAUGGAUCCGCGCCGCAUUAGCUAGUUGGUAAGGUAACGGCUUACCAAGGCAACGAUGCGUAGCCGACCUGAGAGGGUGAUCGGCCACACUGGAACUGAGACACGGUCCAGACUCCUACGGGAGGCAGCAGUAGGGAAUCUUCCGCAAUGGGCGAAAGCCUGACGGAGCAACGCCGCGUGAGUGAAGAAGGUCUUCGGAUCGUAAAACUCUGUUAUUAGGGAAGAACAAAUGUGUAAGUAACUAUGCACGUCUGGACGGUACCUAAGCAGAAAGCCACGGCUAACUACGU